UACGUAGGGUGCGAGCGUUAAUCGGAAUUACUGGGCGUAAAGCGUGCGCAGGCGGCUUUGUAAGACAGAUGUGAAAUCCCCGGGCUCAACCUGGGAACUGCAUUUGUGACUGCAAGGCUAGAGUGCGUCAGAGGGAGGUGGAAUUCCGCGUGUAGCAGUGAAAUGCGUAGAGAUGCGGAGGAACACCGAUGGCGAAGGCAGCCUCCUGGGAUGACACUGACGCUCAUGCACGAAAGCGUGGGGAGCAAACAGG
rnacentral:rRNA from 1 species